rnacentral:ncRNA from 11 species
UUGUGGCCGAGUUGGUUAAGGCGUGAGACUAGAAAUCUCAUGGGUUCGCCCGCGUAGGUUCGAAUCCUGCCG